rnacentral:rRNA from 1 species
AACAACAAGGGUGAAAUCUGUACUUAAGUUAAAUUUCUUGUUUAAAGCAUCUUUUAGGUAGUUAAACGACUAGGAUUAGAUACCCUAUUAGUCUAUCCUUAAUUAACCUGGGUAGUAAUAUUAAAACCUAAAGAAUUUGGCGGUUUCUAAACUUACUAGAGGAACCUGUCCCGUAAACGACAAUCCACGAAAAAAUCAACCCAAACUUGUUAUUCAGCUUAUAUACCGUCGUUUAGGGGAUUAAACAAAUAGAUCUCCUUAAGAGCUUAGGCUAAUAAAUCAGAUCAAGGUGUAGCUUAUGUUUGGGUGAGGAUGGGUUACAAUGAAAAUUCAUACGGAACCUUUAUAUUUCUGCAAAGGAGAAGGUGGAUUUAGAAGUAAGACCUAACACACUGAAGAAAGCCCUGAGAAAUGUACAC